rnacentral:rRNA from 1 species
CAGUAGCCACGGUAAUACGUAGGGUGCAAGCGUUAAUCGGAAUUACUGGGCGUAAAGCGCACGCAGGCGGUCUGACAAGUCAGAUGUGAAAUCCCCGGGCUUAACCUGGGAACUGCAUUUGAAACUGUCAGGCUGGAGUCUUGUAGAGGGGGGUAGAAUUCCAGGUGUAGCGGUGAAAUGCGUAGAGAUCUGGAGGAAUACCGGUGGCGAAGGCGGCCCCCUGGACAAAGACUGACGCUCAGGUGCGAAAGCGUAGGGAGCAAACAGGAUUAGAUACCCCUGUAGUCCCUGUCUCUUAUAC